AUUGAACGCUGGCGGCAGGCUUAACACAUGCAAGUCGAGCGGAGCGAGGGGGUUGGCACCCUAGCUUAGCGGCGGACGGGUGAGUAAUGCUUAGGAAUCUGCCUAUUAGUGGGGGACAACAUUCCGAAAGGGAUGCUAAUACCGCAGACGCCCUACGGGGGAAAGCAGGGGAUCUUCGGACGUUGCGCUAAUAGAUGAGCCUAAGUCGGAUUAGCUAGUUGGUGGGGUAAAGGCCUACCAAGGCGACGAUCUGUAGCGGGUCUGAGAGGAUGAGCCGCGACACUGGGACGGAGACACGGCCCAGACUCCUACGGGAGGGAGCAGUGGGGAAUAUUGGACAAUGGGCGGAAGCCUGAUCCAGCCAUGCCGCGUGUGUGAAGAAGGCCUUUUGGUUGUAAAGCACUUUAAGCGAGGAGGAGGCUACUAGUAUUAAUACUACUGGAUAGUGGACGUUACUCGCAGAAUAAGCACCGGCUAACUCUGUGCCAGCCGCCGCAGUAAAAC
rnacentral:rRNA from 1 species